rnacentral:lncRNA from 1 species
GCUGUCCCCGCGUAUUUUGGGAGAGGAGCACUACUACUGUGCGCGAGAUGUGCAGAAGGUGCUGCAGAACUACAAGAACUUGCAGGACAUCAUUGCCAUCUUGGGUAUGGACGAGCUGAGUGAAGAUGACAAGUUAACAGUGGCGCGUGCAAGGAAGAUGCAGCGAUUUUUGAGUCAGCCAUUCCACGUGGCGGAGGUGUUCACAGGUUCGCCUGGAAAGUACGUGGAUUUGAAGGACAGUGUUUCAGGAUUCCGGGUGAGUUAUGUUUGCUCUUGAACCGCUAUGUUUUGUGGAUCAAACGUGGUUUGUAUGUGACGCUGCAUGGUUUAUUUUAGAGCAUUUACUGGCACCCUAAACAAGGGUUUUCUUCCGCACAGGAAAUGUUUGCCGAGGUUAGAUUGUACUUGAUGCGUAGAGUAACGAAGUAGGGUUUUUGGGUUUUUGAUGGUGCGAUUCCUGAUGAGACAUCGCCGAUGUGCAGGGUGUGUUGGAUGGUAAGUACGAUGAUUUGCCUGAGCAAGCUUUCUACAUGGUUGGCGGUAUUGAGGAGGUUUCGCAGAAGGCUGAGAAGCUGGCCAAGGACAUGGCUUAAGCGAGUUUUUGCGACAUUCUUUGCCUGUUUACACACCCACCUGGCUCAU